UACGGGGGGGGCAAGCGUUGUUCGGAAUUACUGGGCGUAAAGGGCGCGUAGGCGGCUCAAUCAGUCGGGCGUGAAAGCUCUGGGCUUAACCCAGAAAGGUCAACCGAUACUGCGGGGCUAGAGUGCAGAAGGGGCAACUGGAAUUCUCGGUGUAGCGGUGAAAUGCGUAGAUAUCGAGAGGAACACCUGCGGCGAAGGCGGGUUGCUGGGCUGACACUGACGCUGAAGCGCGAAAGCUAGGGGAGCGAACGGG
rnacentral:rRNA from 1 species